CUUUUCUUCCCUUGGACACACACCUGAACAACAGGAGCAGGCCCAGGACGACAGAUUUGAACUGCGGAUGGUUUUUUCGUGCAUUUGAUGAGAAAAUUCAUGGAUGCGAAGCCACGGGCAACAUGUUGAAGGCAGAAGAGAGAUGUCAUCAGCAGUGCCUUGGAGAGUCUGGAGAGGAUCUCAAUAAAGACCACCAGGAUGUCAGCAAAGAAACCAUCUAAAAGGACUCUGCUCAUCGUGUCUCAAAAAUCUUUGUCGUGGAAAUGCAGCACAGGAAAGGCCACACCACUGCCCAUGUGUCGAGCAUCAUCGAGGGAAAAGAGGUUUUUGAUGACUGUAGUGUGGCAAGGGCUUACCUUCUGCUCAUUGGCUUUGUCCAUGCAGUGAACUUUAGUUACCCACCAAAGUUGAAAUAGGCAUUUGUGAAGUUUUUCAGAAGCUCUUUCUUGAGCUUGAUGUCCUGAAGAUGUCUCCUAAAGUCCAGUCUUUGCACAACAAACUUCUAGCAUAAAUAUUUCCAUGCAAGUUUCUCAACCAACUUCAUUGUGUUUAACUAUUUGAAAAUGUUUUAGUCAGACUAAGUCUUUUAAUGAAAGUUGUUCAAUUCUAUUUAGCAGUACUGUGGGCAGCACUGAUUUAUGAUGUACACUAAUCAAUUUUAUUUUAAAUGUUUAAAUGCCAUCCAGACUGUAUAUGUUGAACUGUAAGCAACUACCUCUUGCACCAGUGUUAGAGAAAAAAUUAUAAAGGUGCUGUUGUUUAAAAAGAAUCUGUUAUUUCAUGUUUUGUAGAAGCCUUAUAAUAAGCAAUAAACAAUCUCAUUGUCUAAAAAGUAGCUCCAGUUAUAAAUGCAAGAAAAUCCAUAUUAUAAUACUGCUGUAGAGUAGGGUUGUCAUGGUACUAGAAUUUUAAACUCGAUACCCAGGAAAUUAUUCAAUACUUUAUACCAUUUUCGAUACCACAAGGAGAAUAAAUGACCCUAACCCUUUUUUUUUUUUUUUUUUUAAAUAAAGAUUA